rnacentral:lncRNA from 1 species
GUCGGGAGCGCGCGGCGAGGGUGGCUUGGCACGUCCUCCAGCUCUGCCGGCCUGCGGCGCGUCCUUCUGCCGGCGUCGGCUCAUAUCCCCGGAGUCCACCCGCCCGCCCCGGGCUGUGCAGCCCGGCUUCAGGCGGUCCUCGCCGGAGCCAUGGCCCGCCCGCUCGGCAGAGUGGCAGCGCUGCUGCUAGGGCUGCUAAUGGAGAUGCCGUUCCUAUGAAGACUGCUGUGGCUCCAGGUGCUGUGUGCGGGCCCUCUCCAUACAGAGGCUGUGGUAUUUUUGGUUCCUGCUGAUGAUGGGUGUGCUGUUCUGUUGUGGAGCUGGCUUCUUCAUCCGCCGGCGCAUGUAUCCACCACCGCUCAUUGAGGAGCCCACAUUCAACGUGUCCUAUACCAGGCAGCCACCAAAUCCUGCUCCAGGAGCACAGCAAAUGGGGCCGCCAUAUUACACCGACCCUGGAGGACCUGGAAUGAAUCCUGUUGGCAAUACCAUGGCUAUGGCUUUCCAGGUCCAGCCCAAUUCACCCCACGGAGGCACAACUUACCCACCUCCUCCCUCCUACUGCAACACGCCCCCACCCCCCUAUGAACAGGUGGUGAAGGACAAGUAGCAAGAUGGUACAUCGAAGGCAAAGAGGAUGGACAGGCCCUUUUGUAUUCCUCUCCAUCCUCACUGAUUCUUGCUAAUAGAGUGGUCCAAGGGCACACUUCUCUUUGAUAUUUUCAAAGCAAGCCCAGCUCUCUUUCAAGUUUUUUGUGGAGGACAUUUGAAUCCACACUGUCUCCUCUGUUGCUUCUGUUUCUGAUGUAGUUUGUGCUCUCUGAGAGAGUGUGGCAGCAGUCCCUGAGGGCCGAUAUUCCUAGGGUGGCAUGGGUAGAUCCUCGAGAGAGAGGCUAAGAGGGAAGGAAGGCAUAGCCUA